UGCUGGAUCCAAAUCUAUUUAAAACAAUUAAGGACAUUUUCUUUUCUUUUUGGAUGGUAUUUAAUGAGAAACAACACUGAGAAAAAAUUUAUCAUACAAGGAUAGUAAUAUUCCU
ensembl:misc_RNA predicted gene, 27845